rnacentral:rRNA from 1 species
UACGUAGGGGGCGAGCGUUGUCCGGAAUUAUUGGGCGUAAAGCGCGCGCAGGCGGUCCCUUAAGUCAGGAGUUUAAGGUCGGGGCUCAACCCCGGUACGCUUUUGAAACUGGGGGACUUGAGUGCAGUAGAGGAGAGCGGAAUUCCACGUGUAGCGGUGAAAUGCGUAGAGAUGUGGAGGAACACCAGUGGCGAAGGCGGCUCUCUGGGCUGUAACUGACGCUGAGGCGCGAAAGCGUGGGGAGCAAACAGG